rnacentral:rRNA from 1 species
GACGAACGCUGGCGGCGUGCUUAACACAUGCAAGUCGAACGGAAAGGCCCUGCUUUUGUGGGGUUCUCGAGUGGCGAACGGGUGAGUAACACGUGAGUAACCUGCCCUUGACUUUGGGAUAACUUCAGGAAACUGGGGCUAAUACAGGAUAGGAGCUCCUGCUGCAUGGUGGGGGUUGGAAAGUUUCGGCGGUUGGGGAUGGACUCGCGGCUUAUCAGCUUGUUGGUGGGGUAGUGGCUUACCAAGGCUUUGACGGGUAGCCGGCCUGAGAGGGUGGACGGCCACAUUGGGACUGAGAUACGGCGCAGUCUCCUACGUGAGGCAACAGUGGGAAAUAUUACACAGUGGGCGGAAGCCUGAUACAGCAACGUCGCGUGCGGGAUGACGGCCUUCUGGUUGUAAACCGCUUUCGCCUGUGACGAAGCGUGAGUGACGGUACUGGGUAAAGAAGCACCGGCUAACUACGUG